rnacentral:lncRNA from 1 species
UUUUUUCUUUUUUCUCUUUUUGAGAUGGAGUCUCACUCUGUCACCCAGGCUGAAGUGCAGUGUCAUGAUCUCGGCUCACUGCAACCUCCGCCACCCAUGUUCAAGCAACUCUCCUGCCACAGCCUCCUGAGUAGCCGGGAUUACAGACACGCAUCACCACGCCUGGCUAAUUUUUUGUAUUUUUAGUAGAGACAUGGUCUCACCAAGUUGGACAUCCUGGUCUCAAACUCCUGACUUCAGGUGAUCCACCUGCCUCCCAAAGUGCUGGAAUUACAGGCGGGAUCCUUUCUUAAAGUAAGGCGAGGAUGACAUUCUUCACUUUGGAUGGAUUGUGGGUUUUACUUUUAUCCUGAUUAUCCUAUAAAAUUGCCAAAUCCCAAAUUGUGGCUCCAUCUUUAAGCUGUUUCUACUUGAUCUGAAAAUAUAAGUGGCUCCUCACCAGACUUAGGUUUCUGGGUUUUCAUUUUUCUUAGAUUUGUUCUAGAAAUUCCUCACUCUCUUGUUAUGUCUUUGAAGCUUACUAUUUAGUUUAUUUUAUCCAGAGUUUUAACAUUAUUCUCUAUGGGAGUACUGUCCUAAUUAUCUACCCACCAUUACCAUAAGAUGUAUGUUCCACUGAUUUUUUUUUUUGAGAUGGAGUCUCCUUCUGUCACCCAGGCUGGAGUGCAGUGGUGUGAUCUCGGCUUACUGCAACUUUCGCCUCCCGGGCUCAAGCGAUUCUCCUGCCUCAGCCUCCUGAGUAGCUGGGACUAUAGGUGUGUGCCACCACACCUGGCUCAUUUUUUUUGGAAUUUUUAGUAGAGAUGGGGUUUCACCAUGUUGGCCAGGAUGGUCUCGAUCUCCUGACCUCAUGAUCCACCUGCCUCGACCUCCCAAAAUGCUGGGAUUACAGGCAUGAGCCACCGCGUCUGGCCUCCACUGAUCUUAUUGAUUCUGAGUAACCCUAAUUCUUUGAGCAUCAGAGACAAUCCUAAUCUAGGUCUUCAUGUGCAAGCUGUUACAGAGGGACCUACAGAGAAUAUUAGUUAUCUCCUUUAACACAAGAAAGAAUUGUUCUUCCCAGGAAAGAAUUCUUGUUUCUAGGAAGAAGGUCUUCUUUGCCUACCGGAGACAAAUUCUGGGAAUUCAGGCUUAAAACUUGGAGUUGAUCCUUCUGCAGAACUGGAAGUCAGAAAGUCUUUCUUUCAUUUUUGUUUCUUGAGAUUGAGAUGUCUAUCCUUGGGGUGUGUGUGUACGUGUGUGUGUGUGUGUGUGUUUGCAUGCAUGCAAGCGUGUGUGUUUAAUUUUUGAGCAGUGGUAUGCAGUUCUCUUCAGUGUUCACCAUGAUACAUCCUGCUAGCUGUAGUAGAAAAGAUAGUCUAGGCAUCUUCAGAUGUAUGAAAUCAGGAGGAUAUGCACAAUAUAAUACCAUUUUGAAAUUUAAAAAAUGUCCAAGUGCCUAAACUUAAUGGUAUGUAAAGAGAAUUAUGAGGAGGGAAAGAAAAUAUAAAAAUAUGAAAAGAAUU